AACGCGAAGAACCUUACCUGGGCUUGAACCGCACAGGACCAGCUUUAGAAAUAGAGCCUUCCCGCAAGGGACCUGUGUAGAGGUGCUGCAUGGCUGUCGUCAGCUCGUGCCGUGAGGUGUUGGGUUAAGUCCCGCAACGAGCGCAACCCUUACUCUUAGUUGCCACCCGCAAGGGGGAACUCUAAGAGGACUGCUCCGGAUAACGGAGAGGAAGGUGGGGAUGAGGUCAAGUCAGCAUGGCCUUUAUGUCCAGGGCUACACACGUGUUACAAUGCGCGCCACAAAGCGUUGCAAACCCGCGAGGGGGAGCUAAUCGCAAAAAAGCGCGCUCAGUUCGGAUUGCAGUCUGCAACUCGACUGCAUGAAGCCGGAAUCGCUAGUAAUGGCGCAUCAGAACGGCGCCGUGAAUACGUUCCCGGGCCUUGUA
rnacentral:rRNA from 1 species